AAGAUCCUGAGUUCGAUCCCCGGUACAAAAUAAAUAAAUAAAUAACAAGGAAAAUAAAAAAAUAAAUAAUAGGGCAGGGGAUGUAGCUCAGUGGUGCCACAUCUGCCUCCUAAGCGCGAGGUCCUGAGUUCGAUCCCCUGUGCUGCAAAAAAAAAAAGCUGGGCGUGGUGGCGCACACCUGUAAUCCUAGCACUCGGGAGGCUGAGGCAAGAGGCUCUCCGUAAUUUGAGGCCAGCCUGCGUUACAUAGUGAGCUCAAGACCAGCCUUUACUACAUAGUGAGACCCUGUCUCCAAAAAAAAAAAAUCUGGAUGAGAUUUGCCAGAGGAGGCUGCAGCAUUUCCCCAACAAGAUGCACUGCUGAAUCUGAAGGGAUACAGACGCCAGGAUGGGUGCAAGCUGCUCAGUCCAAGGCCAACUCAGCAGGUGGAGUCCUUGCCUGUAGAGGGCGAGUCCUCAGGCCAAAGCCAACUGUCAGUGGACUCCAGCAGGGACGGAAGAGAAGAUGCUUAUGAUAGUCUGGGAGAGAGGUGACAGCAGCUUUGACUGGUGAUGAGAAGCGACUGGAUUUCAGACAUUGUUUAAUGGCAAUGCUGACUUGCUGAAGGAAGACAGAUGAUGAGAGAAAGAAAAAUCAGGAAUGCCUCCAAGGAUUUUGGAAUCGAACAAGUGGUGUUGACAUGGGAGUUAGGAAGCAGAUUUGGGUGGCCGUGGUCAGUUCGCUGAACUUCAAGGCUCAGAGCUGGCUCGGUCCCCUCUCCACCACUGCCAUGAAGUGGAUGUUCAGGGAGGGCCACUCACUGGAACACUGAUGCGUAGAAUCUUUGAAGAUCCGAGAAAACUAUCCUGAUUGAGUUCCAGCGAUUGUAGAAAAAGUCUCAGGCUUUCAGGUUGCUGAUGCUGAAAUGAAAGUACUUGCUUCCAUCUGACAUCACUGUGGCUCAUUUCCAUUGGAUCAUGAGAUAAUGGAUCCAGCUUCCUCCUAAAAAUGUGAUCCAGCCUUCCUUUACAAGAAGGAAAAGGAUGAAGAUGGAUUCUUAUAUUGUAGUCUACAGCAGAGAGAACACUUUGGGCUUCUGAGGGCCAACACUGGGCUAAGUGCACUGUUCUUGAUUGUGUAUCUUGUAAAUACCUGGCCAUUUUCAGUUGUUCACAGACCUCUCCACAUAGACCUAUUAGUGCAUUUGUAACUGAAUUCGUUUCUUAAUAUAUCGGAAGGUUUUGUUUCCUUAGACGGGUAAAUUAUCA
rnacentral:lncRNA from 1 species